AGCAGCCGCGGUAAUUCCAGCUCCAAUAGCGUAUAUUAAAGUUGUUGCAGUUAAAAAGCUCGUAGUUGAAUUUCGGGAUCAAUAUAUCGGUCGUGCCUUGGUACGUACUGGUAUCAUUGGUUUCUCCUUUCUGACGAACCAUGAUGUCAUUAAUUUGGUGUUAUGGGAAGUUAGGACUGUUACUUUGAAAAAUUAGAGUGUUUAAAGCAGGCUUUAGCUUGAAUACAUUAGCAUGGAAUAAUGAAAUAGGACGUUCGAACCUAUUUUGUUGGUUUCUAGGAUCAACGUAAUGAUUAAUAGGGAUAGUUGGGGCAUUAGUAUUCAAUUGUCAGAGGUGAAAUUCUUGGAUUUAUUGAAGACUAACUACUGCGAAAGCAUUUGCCA
rnacentral:rRNA from 1 species